rnacentral:lncRNA from 1 species
AAUAAAGGUUUUGGGACUUCACUUACAUGCAACAAGCAGCAGCCCAUUGGUGUUGAUUGCAUUCUGGGCCGUUUAUCAAAUAAACUUGUACAGUGGUAAUAUUUGCGAACGGGGUGGUCGUUUCCUUUGAACAGCAUCACACAGGUUCGUUUUAAUUAGAUGACAAUAAUAUCUCUGCCAGUUUAUGCUUCCAACAUUCGAUAGCCGCCACCAAGUGAAUGUGUUUAAAGACGGUGAAUUUUAUCAGCUGCGGCGUUUCACUGGUGUAACGGCUGCACGGCUUCCAUCGUUAGUGAUCAGCUCCCCUGGCCAUGUAAUGACAUGUUUCUGGCAAGAAAUGUGCUGGCUAGCACGAAAAUUCAUCGCUGGAACCGAGCAGUCUUCUUGGAGACUACCCACGAAAGCGGAUUAACCUUGCAGCCUCUGCGCAUGUGCACCGCCUCCAAGACGCUGCUCAUGUUUGUUCACCUCUAUGGACUCUAUUGUGUCUGGACAUACAAGUCAACAGUGAAUGUAUCACCACUGGAAGUAACAUCAAGGGCCAGAAUCCUCACAAGGAAGAUGGACAAAAGAGAGGUUAUUGGUUUGCAAGCUGCCCAUGUCAAGCCAUAAGAAGCUAAACAGUCACCAUAAUGAUAACAGGUUGUCUUGAACUAUGUGCCUGACCAUGAAAUGUUCGCAAGGUUACGAGAUAGAGGGGUGUGAACCCUAUCAGGAAAGCUACAGUCAACAGUUUUGUACUGUACAGAGCGAGAAUGCUAAAAUUUGACAUACAAGCUUACUUGCUUUUAAGGUGGUUUUAUGACAAACAGAGAAGUUAACAUGUUUCUUUUUUAGUCAUUAUAGCCAUGAUGACCAGAACAGAAGCAAUGUAGCAAGCUCCUACUUGCUAAUGCACAAACUAUGUCAUCUGCUCUUUGCAAAUCAGCUUAGUGGGCAUAACCACCAAGUAUCACAUGCUGCCUCACAAUGUUAAUUUGCUGCAUGAAAGUGCAAAUAAUUUUAGAAUGAUCAAAACCGCUCAAUGCAAUUUUGAGGAAAUGAUACUUCAUGCUGACUGAAUCUCUGGCAGUCACUCUUACAUGGUUCAUGUACAGUUUGCACGUAAUCAAUAACAAGGCUAGCCCUGUACUGUAAGAUAAGAAAUAGCUAGAAAAGGCAAGCUCACAUAACCGGCCUACUCCACAUUUCACAAACAUGACAAAUCACUAAAAAGAAUUUUUCUUUCUCUUCAAACAGCAGAUGACAAAUCUGAGAACAGUGUGUUACCAAAAUGUUUUUUGAAGUAUACUUGGAGAAUAGCAAGUUUGGGUUAACAUUCAGCCAAUCAACAGUGAACGAGCAAGGGAAGCCUCAGCUUGGGAACUUGUUUUCAUCAUCGCUCUCACAGAUAUGUUUGCUUGUUGAAACGUUGGCUCCAGGCUGAGGCUUCCCUUGCUCACCUCUGUUACUCACUCGAAAUGUUCAUCUCCUUGCAACCUUGUUUGAAUACAUAAAGCAAACUUUUUUUUCACCAUGAAACCGUAAAUCAAAUUUUCAAAGAAUCUGUGAGCAUUAAUUGGGCUUGCUUAAAUGUUUAUUUAGUGUCCUUGUUUAUUCACACAAUUUUUGCAGAAUUUCUUGUAAGCACUGUUGUCUCCCUAAUGUUCCUUGCUUUCCUAUGAGUACUUGACUUGUGUCAGAGCCUUUAAUGCCGCAUGUGAACGCUAAAUGUGCCCCAGAAAUAUCAAUAGCAGACAAUAUGUGCUGUAAAAUUUAGCAUAACAUCUAUGUUUAUUUUUUUUUUAUUUUUUUCUUAUGCUACAUGCUUCUCGCCGAUGAAAAGAAUGGGACAUUGCAGCUCGAGCUUAUCAUUCUGACACUACAUCCUUGCCUAGAAGUUUUUCUUUCUUUUUUUAAUCUAGCUGGAAUUUUUUAACGCAGACAAUAUAUGUAUAUGAAACAUUGCAAGCAGCGCUGUAUGCAACUACAGUAUGGGGGUAGCCUAGCAUAAAUAUUGUUAUAUAAAGCUUUGUUCUCCCCGCUUUAGUGGCAUGCCGAACAUGAUGAAAUUUCGCUAGUUUUCAGCUUUCAAUUCCGUUAAAUAGAUGAAUAUCUGUGUUUCUGUAUGUUGUAAACUCGGUGACUGACUGCAUUAAGUCUACCUGACCUGUACGAAAAUUUUGGGCAUGUACUGCUUCAUUCACCAUUGACAAUAAACAAUGUAAGCUUA